rnacentral:snRNA from 1 species
AUUUGAAUAUUCAAUAUAU